rnacentral:rRNA from 1 species
AUGGGUCCGUUCGACGACGACAACGACCGAGGCCGCCACUGUCCCAUCUUCCACGACCAGUGUUGCAUCAUCCACGGCGUCGUCAUGCCGCCUCCGCCUCCCCCUGCCCUGCCUCCUCCGCCGCCGCCGCUCUUCGGCCUCCAUUCGGGCCGCGCCAGCUCCAAGGCGGCAGCGUCCCGCCACCCUGGCCUCUGCACCGAGGGCCUCGGCUCCGAGAGCUCCGAGAGCUCGGGCGACCUCGACCUCGCCGGCAUCGUGGCCGACGACGACGACAUUGAAGACUGCAAGACUCAGCAGCAGGGGCACUCCGACGACGACCAAGAGGAGACGCCGGCGCCGGCAAAGGCAAGGGGCGGCAAGAGGGUGUUCCCGCCGCCCAUAUCGGUGAUCGGCGCCGCCGGGAAGCCGUGGCAGUACCUGAGGGCGCAGCGUGGGGGCGGCCGGCUGGUGCUGCGGGAGGUGAGGAUACCGUCGCGGGAGCUGCUCCACGCCUGCCGGGAGGACGGCCGCCUCAAGCUCCACUUUGCACACCCGGAGCAAGAUGAUGAUCAGGAAUGCAACAACUAG